AUUCCAGCUCCAAUAGCGUAUAUUAAAGUUGUUGCAGUUAAAAAGCUCGUAGUUGGAUUUGUGGCGUACGAUGUGUUCCCGGCACUUGUUGUCGGUGGUACUUGUCGUUGCCAUCCUUGGGUGGAAUCUGUGUGGCAUUAGGUUGUCGUGCAGGGGAUGCCCAUCGUUUACCGUGAAAAAAUUAGAGUGUUCAAAGCAGGCUUACGCCGUUGAAUAUAUUAGCAUGGAAUAAUGAGAUAGGACCUUGGUACUAUUUGGUUGGUUUGCGCACCGAGGUAAUGAUUAAUAGGGACAGUUGGGGGUAUUCGUAUUCCAUUGUCAGAGGUGAAAUUCUUGGAUUUUUGGAAGACGAACUACUGCGAAAGCAUUUGCCAAGGAUGUUUUCAUCA
rnacentral:rRNA from 1 species